GGGUAACAGAGGAUAAGGGUUCGACUCCGGAGAAGGGGCCUGAGAAAUGGCCACUACGUCUAAGGAUGGCAGCAGGCGCGCAAAUUACCCACUCUCAGAACGAGGAGGUAGUGACGAGAAAUAACAAGACCGUUCUCUUCAGAGGCCGGUCAUUGGAAUGGGUACAAUUUAAACCCUUUAACGAGUAUCUAUGAGAGGGCAAGUCUGGUGCCAGCAGCCGCGGUAAUUCCAGCUCUCAAAAUGCAUAGAAUCAUUGCUGCGGUUAAAAAGCUCGUAGUUGGAUCUGUGCUGGCGGGUCGGUCCACCUUCGGGUGCGCACUGAUUUCGCCGGCUUUCCUGCUGUAUUUGGCCCUGUGCCUUUCAACGGGUGCAGUGUCCAGUGCAGCAAGUUUACCUUGAACAAAUCAGAGUGCUUCAAACAGGCGUUUCGCUUGAAUGUUCGUGCAUGGAAUAAUAGAAGAGGAUUUCGGUUCUAUUUUAUUGGUUUUAUAGACUGAGAUAAUGGUUAACAGAGACUAACGGGGGCAUUAGUAUUGCUACGUGAGAGGUGAAAUUCUUGGACCGUAGCAAGACUGACUACAGCGAAAGCAUUUGCCAAGAAAGUCUUCAUUAAUCAAGAACGAAAGUCAGAGGUUCGAAGGCGAUCAGAUACCGCCCUAGUUCUGACCGUAAACGAUGCCAACUAGUGAUCCGCCGGUGGAACAUUCGCCCUGGUGGGGAACUUCCCGGAAACGAAAGUCUUCCGGUUCCGGGGGAAGUAUGGUUGCAAAGCUGAAACUUAAAGGAAUUGACGGAAGGGCACCACCAGGAGUGGAGCCUGCGGCUUAAUUUGACUCAACACGGGAAAACUCACCCGGCCCGGACACCGUAAGGAUUGACAGAUUGAUAGCUCUUUCAUGAUUCGGUGGAUGGUGGUGCAUGGCCGUUCUUAGUUCGUGGAGCGAUUUGUCUGGUUUAUUCCGAUAACGAGCGAGACUCUGGCCUACUAAAUAGUUUACACAUUGCUUCUGUGUGCAUAACUUCUUAGAGGGAUUUUCGGUGUUCAGCCGCAAGAAAUUGAGCAAUAACAGGUCUGUGAUGCCCUUAGAUGUCCGGGGCUGCACGCGCGCUACACUGGCAAAAUCAGCGUGCUUGUCCUUCCCCGAAAGGGGUUGGUAAACUCGUGAAAAUUUGCCGUGAUUGGGAUCGGAAAUUGCAAUUAUUUUCCGUGAACGAGGAAUUCCAAGUAAGUGCGAGUCAUCAACUCGCGUUGAUUACGUCCCUGCCCUUUGUACACACCGCCCGUCGCUGCCCGGGACUGAGCCGUUUCGAGAAACUUGGAGACCGCUGAUCUGGU
rnacentral:rRNA from 1 species